rnacentral:tRNA from 1 species
GCCCGGGUGGUGGAAUUGGCAGACACGCAAGAUUCAGGUUCUUGUGACCGCAAGGUUGUAGGAGUUCGACUCUCCUCCCGGGCA